rnacentral:rRNA from 1 species
UACGUAGGGUGCAAGCGUUGUCCGGAAUUAUUGGGCGUAAAGAGUUCGUAGGCGGCUUUGUCAGUCGGGUGUGAAACCUCCAGGCUCAACCUGGAGCCGCCACCCGAUACUGCAAUAGCUAGAGUCCGGUAGGGGAGCAUGGAACUCCUGGUGUAGCGGUGAAAUGCGCAGAUAUCAGGAGGAACACCUGUGGUGUAGACGGCUCUCUGGACAGUAACUGACGCUGAGACACGAAAGCGUGGGUAGCAAACAGG